AUUGAACGCUGGCGGCAGGCUUAACACAUGCAAGUCGAACGAGUGGCGGACGGGUGAGUAAUGCUUGGGAAUCUCGCUUAUGGAGGGGGAUAACUACGGGAAACUGUAGCUAAUACCGCCUACCAUAGGAUGAGCCCAAGUGGGAUUAGGUAGUUGGUGAGGUACCGGCUCACCAAGCCGACGAUCUCUAGCUGGUCUGAGUGGAUGACGAGCAACACUGGGACGGAGACAAGGCCCAGACUCCUACGGGAGGCAGCAGUGGGGAAUAUUGCGCAAUGGGGGCAACGUGACGCAGCCAAGGCGCGUGAAUGAAGAAGGCCUUCGGGUUGUAAAGUUCUUUCGGUAGCGAGGCGUUAACUACAGAAGAAGCACCGGCUAACUCCGUGCCAGCAGCCGCGGUAAUAC
rnacentral:rRNA from 1 species